AUUGAACGCUGGCGGCAUGCUUUACACAUGCAAGUCGAACGGUAACAGGCCGCAAGGUGCUGACGAGUGGCGAACGGGUGAGUAAUGCAUCGGAACGUGCCCAGUCGUGGGGGAUAACUACUCGAAAGAGUAGCUAAUACCGCAUACGAUCUAUGGAUGAAAGCGGGGGACCGUAAGGCCUCGCGCGAUUGGAGCGGCCGAUGUCAGAUUAGGUAGUUGGUGGGGUAAAGGCUCACCAAGCCAACGAUCUGUAGCUGGUCUGAGAAGACGACCAGCCACACUGGGACUGAGACACGGCCCAGACUCCUACGGGAGGCAGCAGUGGGGAAUUUUGGACAAUGGGCGCAAGCCUGAUCCAGCAAUGCCGCGUGCAGGAAGAAGGCCUUCGGGUUGUAAACUGCUUUUGUACGGAACGAAACGGCUCUGGUUAAUACCCGGGGCUAAUGACGGUACCGUAAGAAUAAGCACCGGCUAACUACGUG
rnacentral:rRNA from 1 species